AUUGAACGCUGGCGGCAUGCCUUACACAUGCAAGUCGAACGGCAGCACGGGAGCAAUCCUGGUGGCGAGUGGCGAACGGGUGAGUAAUGUAUCGGAACGUGCCCAGUCGUGGGGGAUAACGUAGCGAAAGCUACGCUAAUACCGCAUACGAUCUAUGGAUGAAAGCGGGGGACCGUAAGGCCUCGCGCGAUUGGAGCGGCCGAUAUCAGAUUAGGUGGUUGGUGGGGUAAAGGCCUACCAAGCCGACGAUCUGUAGCUGGUCUGAGAGGACGACCAGCCACACUGGGACUGAGACACGGCCCAGACUCCUACGGGAGGCAGCAGUGGGGAAUUUUGGACAAUGGGCGCAAGCCUGAUCCAGCAAUGCCGCGUGCAGGAUGAAGGCCUUCGGGUUGUAAACUGCUUUUGUACGGAGCGAAAAGGCUCUCUCUAAUACAGGGGGCUCAUGACGGUACCGUAAGAAUAAGCACCGGCUAACUACGUGCCAGCCGCCGCCGUAACAC
rnacentral:rRNA from 1 species